GACGAACGCUGGCGGCGUGCUUAACACAUGCAAGUCGAACGGAACGGCCCUGCUUUUGUGGGGUGCUCGACUGGCGAACGGGUGAGUAACACGUGAGUUACCUGUCCUUGACUUUGGGAUAACCUCAGGACACUUGGGCUCAUACCGCCUAGGAUCUACCGCUGCUUGGUGGGGCUUGGAAAGUUUCGGUGGUUGGGGAUGUACUCGCGGACUAUCAGCUUGUUGGUUGGGUAGUGGCUUACCAAGGCCUGGCCGGGUAGCAGGGCUGGGAGGGGGACCGGCCACAUUGGGAUGGGGAUGCGACACAGACUCCUACGGGAGGCAGCGGUGGGGAGGAGAGCACAAGGGGAGGGAGCCUGAUGCAGCAACGCCGCGUGCGGGAAGAGGUCAUGGGGGUUGUAAACCGCUGUCGCCUGUGACGAAGCGUGAGUGACGGUAAUGGGUAAAGAAGCACCGGCUAACUACGUG
rnacentral:rRNA from 1 species